AUGGAUUCCAAUCAUUAUGUCGUUUUUUAUGAGUCAAAGGAUCAUACAGUUCAGAAAAACUCAUGUUUUUCCAUCGUGGGCACCACAAGAAGUUUUAUGUGCGUUUUGAAAACCUAUCAUUGCAAAAAUACAAGGGGUGCUUAAUUAAGUUCUUUGUGUUUAUAUGUUUCUAUUUAUAA